rnacentral:sRNA from 1 species
AAAACAAAACACAACAGACUCAUCGUUUCUCAUUGGAUCAGUGCUGGGGCUUCAAAGAGGCCUGCUCAUCCCCAUGCUCUUGCGACCCUUUGCCGGAUGCCUCCCUACAGCAGCCGUGCAGAACAGAACUCUUUCUAAAACGUCACCCACAGCAGACGCCAGUGCUUCAGCCAUGGCUUGAACGUUCUCACGUCUCCCACUAUUAUCUGCAUCUGAGUUCUCUUUACUCCCCUUAAACUACGACCGUGAAAGAGAGCGAUUUCUACAUCAUUUAGUUAUUUAUCUCCGUAAUACUCAGGAGUGAAAUUUUUAAAAGUGGCUACCAUUACUCUUGCUGCUAACAAUUGGCAGCUAUCCUGGGGAAGUGGUACGCGGGAUGAAAUGAGCCCCUGUAGGAAACAUGGCCUUUUCUUGUUUCUAAUAUUUUUUCGUCUUUGGUGUCAUCAGUCAAAUUAAUCUAUUUUCUCUUUCCACAUGACUCUCCAAAGUGAGAGAGAAGUUAAGGGUUUGAAGAGGCUGUUCUGGGCUUCCCACUGAACAUGGGGCUUAGGAUGUGGCUGGGCACCUGCUUCCCUUAACCCCUUGAGAUCUGAGAAUUCAGAACCCUUUCCUGUAGCCUAGCAAAAACAAAAACAGGAACAAACAAGGUGGGGGUGGGGUAUGUGGUGGCAUGGGGUGGGGGAUGUAUUACAGAAUACCAGUGCUGGUAUCAUGUUUCUCUUCCCCAUCUCCAUGUCCUAUUCCUCUUCUUCAUUUAUUAUUGUUUUAAAAAAUAACUCAUUGUGUCCAAUUAGUGGUACCUAUUCAUGGCACCAUCCACUAGAGCUUAAAAAAUACACAGACUCUACCUCAUGCUCAUGUAUACUCGAGGGUACAGACCUGACAGUAUACAGAAGACAAGAGAGAACAAUGUAAAGGGCUGAGAGAAAUACAAGUUCUGAGACUUGGGGAGGCACGGUCUCUAUGUAGGAUCCGUGAGUGCCCGGGCAUACUUGGAACUGACACCCGCCGGGACCUACAGGAUGGAGACCUAGCAGGUUAUUGAUUUUGCAGGUGUCUGAAUUUGAAGUGACAAAUUACUUGGUUACAGUCAGCUUUAGUGUUGCCUUCUUUACACAACUACACUAACACAUUUCUAGGCAACUUUGAGGACUCUUAAAAUUAAAACGUUUUAUAAAUAACAAAGCCACAGAGGGAAAACCAGGUGUAUUUACUAUUAUCAAAGUUCAUCUCCAUGUGCGUGUCUGAACAUAGCAACAGCAGCACAGAGGGAUCGCCUCAGUUACCCUGCUCCUCUGGAUCAUUUAGCUGCUGGCUAUGGUAUAGAGCUUCCAUGGUAUAGGACUUCUAUGUUCUAGAACUCCCAUGGUAUAGAACUUCUAUGGUAUAGAACUUCUAUGGUGUAGAGCUUCCAUGGUGUAGAGCUUCUUGUUCCAUCUCUGACUCCUUCCCCUUGCCCUCUGCUACAUGUGCUAUUCCCUCCAUCCCAUGCCAUUCAGAGAACACAGCCCUACACUCCUGCAGAGGCAGACUCAGGUACCUCACAUCUCUGUGUCUAAUCCCUUUGGGGGGGGGGUGAGGAUACACAGCCACCAAGUCUUGUGAAGCUAUGCCAGCCAUCUCAGCCAUUCCCCCGACACAUUCGUGACAUCCUCCUGCCGUAGAGGCUGAGGAUUUAUGUGACUUUAAUUGAAGGCUACAGAAGGGACAGGGAAACAUCAGCUCCUAUCAAUCACCGCGUCCCUUGCUUUCAUUGUGUACUUAACAGCUUGUUACUUAUUCAGGAGGGGGAUUCUGCACUGAGUCUGUCUCCGUGCAAACAGUCUUCCCAGGCUGAAGAAAGCCCUGAAACAGGGAGGUGGCCUCAUUAGGCACACAGGCCUGUGCCGCAUACCGAAACAUGGAGACACAGUGCUGAUGACCACGACUACAGUGGGGGAGUCAAGGGUUCCAGCAUCCUCCCGCUUUCCUGUCUAUGUCCCCGCAAGACUUCCCAGGCGUGUUUGACACCAUGGCCCUUUGUUGUGUUUUCAAAGCGAUCCUUGCUUGGCUCUUCUCAACAAUGAACUCUGCGACUGUUUAACUGAAAUCUCCUAUGGGGGGAACUUGAUGUCUGGUUUACUGUGCUCUCUUACAGAAUGCCUGCAGCACAGCAGACCCCUGAAGGAGCGAGCAUACGGCUGCAUGCACGUGAGGAAUGCUAACACUCAGUCUUGGUUCUGACUCCCCUUUUACCUUACGCCUCUACGCCAUCUGUAGAGGCUUGAGGACCCUUCAUCUUUAUCUUUUCUAAGGGCCAUCCUUUAGGGGGCUCAUUCAAGACCCAGUACGGUUAUCACCCGGCUCUCAGGUACUGCCUUGGCGUGUGAUGCUGAACUGUUCCUCCUGACCCCCAGGCAGAUCUCAGUCCCAAGUUUACCCGCCCAAGGUUUUGCUUCCCAACUUAGCUCAGCCCACUACCCUGGUGGUCGAAGUUAGGUUCCUACUUGCCAGUCGUUUCCCACUGAGCUACUGAUGUGUCUGACCCUGCGGACAGGCUCUUCUGUGAACCAAGGAAGAUGUCACCUGGGAACCAGUUAGAGGUCGCUUGGGCCUUUGUGUGGUCUUUAAAAUAAGGGGGUUUGCAAGCCAAUGAUGCGUAUUUUCUUAAUCCGUUUCACACAGAAGAAGGGGUUUUAGUGUGAGAUUUGCAAUCUUGUUCUUCAUCUAUUUCCCUAUUUCAACCUGACUACCUGGUUCAAAUUACCAACUGAUACCUGGGUAGGUUAUCAUGCAGAGAUAAGUGCCCCCUGCCCCACUGCGCCCCCAACAAUGGAGCAAACAUGACGGUCACCAUACAUGUGACUUCAGUAGUCCCUGGUGGGUGGGCAUGGAGUGACAGUGACCAUCAUGAGCCAACACAGUGAGCCUACAACCUUGAGCUGAAUAUACAAGGUUCCCAUGGGUCUGACACGCCCCGGGGAGUUUCCAUUCCUCUGCCCUAAACCUCUAGGGUUACUGGGAAUUUCUCCAAGGGCACAGGGAAGUGCUUGUGCUUGGAUUCAGAUUCCCCAAACAACAAGGAAAAAACCCAGGGGGCUCAGCGAGCCCCUCUGGAGGUCUGAACAGGUGAGACUGGCAGCUCUGCCUUGGGUUCCACUGGUGGUGGCCGAGUUGGCAGCCAUAGAGAUUUGCUGUGGCAGAAUACUUAAAGAUGUUCACACAGAGGGACAGAAGGGACAGUCGUUCAUUGUCCUCCUAUGGGACUCCAUCACUUGAAAAGUAAGGCCUAGAAAUUACAAUAUCAGCCGACUUCCAUACAUCCAUUUCCUUCACAAUGGUUGGCAUAUGCUGAGAAGGGAAUGCUCGGAGGGGCUGCUCACCACCACCCGGCCUUGCAAAGAACAAGGACACAGGAAGGAAGAAACGCAAUCACUAGCCCAAGGAAGAGACACCCAGGGAUGGGCACCAUUGUGUAGGAUGAGGUGAGGGAUAAUACAAAUUAUGAUUUCAGACCCUGGUAGGCAAGCUACACCAUGUUCUUUUCACAUCUGAAUCUCUGUACAGCAUGUUCUUGGUGACUACAGUCAAGGUCCUUGGAACACUCACAGUAGCUUACUUGAGUUUUUAAAAAGCCAGGUAUAAAUAUCAAUGCUGCUGCAGAGUACGCAGAAUAAAAUUUAACAUCUUUUGAGGGAGUCUUACUUCUGAGGCGCUGUUUGAAGUGCUUUAAGUGUCCUAUCUCGUUAGAUUUACAAUUCGCCAUCCUGUGAAAUCAGUCCUGUGGUCUCUGCCCUUUGCCAUACGAUCACAGACAGGCCCUGGGCAUGGCAAGUUUCUGGGAACAUACAGAUACUGAGCCAUGAAGUUGAGGGAGACUCUUCCCUUCCUUCUUUCCUUCUGAAGAUAAGGAGGGUCUCCCAGCAGCUGGGCUCUAGCUCACCCCCACUAUCCUCCUGGUUCAGCAGGUCAAGUACCAGAAUAAGGAGGCUGGAGCUUAGCUGACUGCCCCAUCUCAGGAGAACUACAGAGCAAGCAUCAGGAAGACAGGCAUAUACUCUGAGCCACAAGAGGAAGCCAGCAGAGAAACCUGUGUGUCCCACACAGAAUAGCCCUUGGAAAAGUGGUUUUACAUCAGGUGAAGGCUAUCGUGGGAAAAUGACUACGUAUGAGAGACAAGGAGAGUCCACUAGUGAGAGAGACAAUGCACUUAUUCUACGACGGGGUGGACUGCCUCGUCCUCAUUAAUGGUGGAAACUGAAGAGUAAUACUCCAUUUCACUAGGGACUGUUGUUAAAACAAGUCUCAAAGAGGAUAUAAGGAAUGGAACCAUUACCAGACCUGCAACCCACUGAUGAUGCAGAAGCCACUCGGCCAGGAAAACAAGAGAAGGGGCAACAGAGAAGUGAGAGGUGAGGGAGAGGCUUGCUUGGGGUAUGCUGGGUCGGGGCUCACUGGGGUCGGGGCUAGCUGGGGCCAGGCCGAGAAACAGAAGCUGUGCACUGAAGGCCAGUGUUGUGAUGAACUAAGACAGUCCUUUCAGUUCCACUGGGAAACAGUUUCAAGUGGCCAUCACCAUCUGAAGGCCAGGUAUGGGAACUCAUUUUUUCUUCAGAGUGUGGAAUGGGUGCCAGAACCCUGACAACUGUACACCUCAGGAAUGGCUGCCGUGGAGAGUGGGGUGCUCUCCUCGCAGCUUAGUGCUGACUACUCCUGAGGCCUGGGCUGGGUUCUGGGCUGGGAACCUAUAAGCCAAUCCACCUUUCUGGAACACAGAGAGCAUGUAUAAGAAAGCCAGAAUACUCUCCCAGACGUCACUGGAACCAUCUACUGUGCUGCGGUGACAGAGGCCCUGCGAUGUCUGACCCCUCAGAAACUCUCGCUGACUUCUGCCAUGUUCACAGUGAAGUCUGCCCUCCCAGAUGCAAAUCUCUGAAGCCAGAAAACCCCUCCAGGUUUCUCCUUUUCAAACUGUGGCCAGAGGGUGGCAAUCAAAACUAAUUCAAUAGGACACACCGUGGGGAGGGGAUGGGGCUGCAUGCACAGACAGGUACAGUACUGAAGUCGAAUGAGUUUUCACAAGACUGACUGUUUCUGAAGACAUAUCAAGAAAUGUGUUCUGUGGAAGAGGAGCUGGGCAGCCCUUUCCUGAAGAAAGAGACAGACACGUCACAGGAGAUGGGACAGCUGUGCAUUUGCCCCAUGGGACCAGCAUGACUUCCCACCUGGCUGAGUGCUCACCACACAGGUGAGCCUGGCUUCUGGCUCAUUCCUGUGUGUGCUUGCGAUUCUUGUGUAUCUUAAGCUUCUGCAUGGUAUGGAGCGCUGACCAGGAGGUUGGUACUAUCUAUUGAGUCAGUUAAUGAGCCUGGUCACUCCUCCUAAUGUCCUGGUUCUGACACAACCUUCUGUCCCUGCAGAAGGCUUCAUCUUGGCAGCAGGUGUGGACUCUUCUUGCCAGUGUGGCCUGACCAGAGACAUUUCUACCUCCUGUUAUUUUCUAGAUCCCCGUGAGUGCUCAUCAUCCAACAUGAGGGCCAGCACUGCAUCUUCUGAGACAAGGCAGAUGGGGAGAAGUUCAAGGGGACAGUGUCACACUGUCUGUCUGGAUGCUGUGUGUCCUCCCAAGGCAAUCUCUAAGAACCAUGCCAAGGCUUCUUAAAAAUGUCCAGCUCAGGUUUCUCCACAUGGAGGGAGUGAAGUUCAGGCCUUGAGCUUUUACUAAAGAGUUUACUUUUUUAUUGACUAGUGAAGCAGGCUCCCUUAGGGUUGUCGAGGCCAGGGAAGGGGGAGGUAAUUUUAUGCUUAUAUGGUGUCCGUUAGUCUCUGGGUGCCAUGACGCCCUCCUUCCUAACCAUGGAGCUGUGCUCUGUCUUAAGAGUAACUAAGGGCUCACAGGGAGGUGCCAUUCACAUGGGUGAAUUUGAUCCUCACCAUGUGAGGUACCUGUUCAGGGCCUGUUCUUCUGUUUCCUAGCUUGCCUUCCUCAUCUACAAUCUGUGGAUACUCUCGACGCCUACCUCUGUACUCACGCCAACAAGCUGGUGAGUUCUGCCCAGGGAUGGAGACCCAUCUGCAUAGAGAGCUGCUCUGCUGAGCUACCAAACACUCCUUCCACCUUGAUACACUCGGGAGGCUCCGAUAACUUCCAGGACAGCACAGGAUUUGAACCUUGUGACUAUGGAUGGUAUGCAGCUAGUGAGAGCGACUUCAUCCUACAGUGGCCAUGAGAUGAUGGAUGGACAGCAGAUGCUAUCAAUCUAUGGAUUCUCUGAACUGAAACGACCAAGCCUCUUACUAAGAUUGCUGCAGUUUGGAAUUCGAUAUCUUUUGGUAUCAAACCUACAAUGUGACUGUGAAUUACUGUUUCCACGUGGGAAGAUGAGAAUGUUCCCCCUGGUACUUCCUACCACAGUGAUUUCCCUCAUGCAUGGAUGAAGCAAUAAAACAUAUGAUGGGUUGGAACUCUGAAAAUGUGAGCCCAGGUAAACCUUUCUUCUUUUUAUGUUUGCGUAUCUCAGGUAUUUCAUCACAGUGAUGGCAAGUCCACCAACACAGGAUAGUAAAUAUUACACACCUAAACAUCCUCUUUUGCUAUUGAGCUUGGGAUCUAUAGAUCUUAUUAUUUUUUUUUUUUUUAGAUAAUAGAUCUUUCUACUUUCUUGAUCAUGGAAAGACAUACAAUAUCGUAAAAUCUAGAGACUUCUACUUAUAACCUAAUCGCUCUUAACCCACAAGAGUUAGUUCUUGGGUUGGAAGCUCCAACAGCUUCCCUACACCACCUACAAGGCCUCGGAUGCAGAAGCCUGCUGAUAAUGUCCACCUUCAAGACAAUAGCUGUAAGUCCUCCGCCUUCUGGGACAUUUGGAUGGAGACUGUCUUAGUUAAGGUUUUCACUGCCGUGAUAAAGACCAUGACCAUAAGCAACUCUGGAAGAAAGAGGUAACCCCAGUUCAUAUGUCUCAGGGAUACCAGGACAGGGACUUAAGGCAGGAGCCCAGUGCAGGGGCUAAAGCAGGGGCCAUGGGGGACUGCAGCUUACUAGCUUGCUCCUCAUGGUUUGCUCAGCCUGCUUUCUUAUAGAACCAGCCCAAGAGGUAGCAUUACCUACAAUAACCUGGGUGUUCCCACAUCCAUGUUCUGUUCUAUUGAUAUAGACAGUCUCGGUAAUAGCAACACUUGGAACCAAACACUGCUCAGAAUAGAUUAUGUAAGACCCCUUCCUUUAAUCAUGACCCUGUAGGAGGCAGGAAAGAUUAAGCUGGGGCCAAAGAGGCAAGGGCCAGAAUGGGGAGAGACUAGCUCACAGUGAGGUAUUAUGGUAUACCCACUGGAAAGGGUCAUGGUGCCAAGUGUAGGUGAGGGUGUCAUACAGUGUGAGCUGUCAGAUGCUGAUACUGAACAUGAACAUGAAAAGAAGAAGUAGCUAUUAUGGAGUAAAGAGGAAGAUCCAUCUUAUAUAUCAGUAGCAAGAAGUUGAUAUUAUGUGCAUCCUGGGGGCUAAAUAAGAAUGUGCCUAGCAAUACUGUUUACAAUCAACAACAACGUUACUACCUUAUCAAGUUGAUGCUAUUCAGUAACCACAAUGAAUGGACUACAGUUACGAACACCAGACUGGAUUAGCAGCAGUCACUACUCGUGCACAGUGACUGAGCAAUGGGCCAUGAGUACAGAGAGGAAAUGAUGUUCCUUAAUUGAAACAUUUACAUGCAUCACAUGUGUGUCUAUGGAGGCAAGAAGAGGACACUGGAUCCCUGGAACUUAAGUUGGGAGCUGCCUUGUGGCUGCUGGGAACUGAACCCAGGACCUCUGGAAGAACAGCCAGCGCUCUUAACCGCUGAGGUAGUACUACAGCCCCUGACUUUUUAAUUAUAUUUAAUGUCAAUGACUUUAAAUUUAAAUAACCAUAUUAGCUAGAUAUUUACUAUGUUGUGGACUUGGUAUGACAGUGUAAAACAGCCAACUUACAAUUUCCUAUUUACUACAUGUUAAAAUGACAAUAUUUGUGCUAUCCUAACUUAAAGAGUUAUUCUACAUCCACACUUUGUUUCUAUUUAGCAUGCCUAUUAUCAAUGUUCUGAGAUGUUUUAUAUAUGGCUCAUAUUAUACUACAGGCUACAUUUGUUUCUGGGAUGAUUUUGCUGGGAGGUAUUCAAAACAGAAGAAAAAGGAAAAAUUAUUACUAUAAGAUUCUCUUUCUCACAUAUGGUAUGUAUGUAUGUAUGUAUGCAUGUAUGUAUGUAUGUAUGUGUUACACAUCUAACUCAGAAGUCAUGGACAUCAUGCUAGGGAAAUACACUGUCACAGACCACAUCCCAGUUCAACAGUCUCUAUUUCAGUGGAUGAAGCAGCAGGCUGUGAUCAGAACAAGGGUGCUGGCUACUGUCUAGGUCUAGACUUGAUUGGUGGCUUCACGAACUUUUGCUUUAUAACAAUAUGUGAAAGCAUCUGCCUUCAGGAUGUUAUGCUGUGUGAAGCACCGUGUGCAACAGAAUAAAAAGGCAACCACCGUGAGACUCUGGCCCCGAGGUUUAGCGGCAGGAAACUACACAAAGAAAUAGAAUGGCCAUUAUUUGGGCCUGGGAUGAGUGAGGGACAGAGGGCUUUUUUAAGAAACUCUAUGCAGAGGUUCAUGUUUGCAAGAUGAAAAGAAUUCUGAAGACGGGUGGUGUGAUGGCUGUUCAGUUGUGCGAGAAGGCAAAUGCUACGCUGUGUGUAGUCCAUACAACUCAGAAAGCGUGAGUGCACUCAGUCCAUCUCCUCCAUCUCUACUCUAACCCUGACUCCUCCAUGGAAACGUCACCUUCAAGGAUGGCAAGGACACACACGGAGUUCCAGCCCUGAGUCCUUUGCUGGAACCAUGUCCCUGGCAUGGCUUGCUCCCUUUCGCUUGUGGGGUAUUGGCAGUAGUAACAAGGACGCUACUUUGGUGAUGGAGAAGUCACACAUUAUUGGCGUCUAUUUGCCAGACACUGCUAAGAAUUAGAAAGAGGUUCUGACAUAUUCUUGUGGUGUUAAAAUAAGAGUGAACAUCGAGAACUGAAUCUGCCUUCUAGGAAGGUACAAUUGUUCCUUGGUAUACGGUGGGGUUUGGUCUCAGAACUCCAUAAAUGCUCAAAUCUAUGGAUAUUCAUAGUCUUUCUAUAAAAUGUGUACAUUUUGCUUGUAACCUAAGCAAACUCUCCUGAGUACUUUAAAUUGGCUCUAUGGGGUACAAUGGAAUCGCGAGGUAAAUCGCUGCUCUCCCUUACUGUUUCUGGCAUAAUGACUGGAAAUUUGCACCCCUUCAGUAUAAGCACAAGUUUCCCUCCCAAAAUUUCAAUCUGAGGUUGGUUGACUCCUUCGAUGUGCUGCCUAGCAAGAUGGUGAGCUAACACUAUAAACAGGCUAGCCUCCAGAAGGAGCCAGCCUACAGAAAUCACAGGGAGGACCUUUACCAGUGGAAAGCAAGGUGGUUAUUGUGGGUGUGCUGUUUAGUGCCAAGUGUCAGCUUGGCACAGAUUAGAGUCACCUGGAAAAUGACCUCAGAGUGACUGCCAAGUUAGGUGGGCCUGUGAGCAUGAGAUGAUGUUAAUUGAUGUGGGAAGACCCAGCCUAGAGUAGGUGCCACCAUUCUGUGUUUUGGGAUCUCAGACUACGCAUGCAUGAGCUCGCUGUCUCCCUGCCCUUGAGUGUAGGUGUGGCCAACUGCUUCACUGUUCCCUGCCUUGGUUUCCCCAUAAAGACACUGUGACCCAGAACUGUGGGCUGAAACAAACCCCUUUUGCCACCAACUUGCUUUUCCUGUGGUAUUUUAUUAUAAUAACAGAAAGGGAAGGAGGCUAAUCCCUCAUCCUUCUAUAGGUUUGUGUGAAAAGCAUCCUUGCUAAAUAGCAAUUUAAUAAAUAGGAGGGUAUAUAACACACACACACACACACACACACACACACACACACACACACACACACACUGAACCACCAUGGAAAGAGGCAAUGUGAGUGACCCUUUUAGGUUCAAAGCCUCUGCUCAUUGCUGCUGUGGCUUCCAGCAUCUAACCUGAAGUCUAGUAGCCAGUGAACCGCAAAAUCAACAUUGACUUGUUGGGAACAAAUAGUUUGCAUCGCCAGAUUUUUUUGUUUUGUUUUGUUUUUGUUUUUCAGAUUCUACCUUCUCUUAAGUCAGAUAUGUACUGAGAUGAAUACACCAUAACCAUUCUUUUACGGAGGCGAAGUUAUUCUCUGAGGUAAUCGUGAAGCUGAGUCCUAGCAAAGGUUUGUAAGGAGAUGCCUAGCAGACAUUUCUAGCAUGUAACAAAUGCCACCAGGGUCACCCAGAAUGAAGAACGAAUGCCCAGACUCACGGACAGUCCCUGUUCUGAAGGCCACCAGCUGGGCCUUUCUAGGCCAAGGACCUGGGCAUUGUUGUUGAAUGGAGGAGGAGGAGCGUUCAGAGAACUCCACUGGUCAUGUAUAAAUUUGGGAAGUCCAACAGGAUCUACGGCUACCGGUUGUUAACCAUGGAAAUGGUAUGGCCAACACUUCAAAGACUUAGUGUUUCUGGAGGUCCCAGCCAGGUAAGUUUGAGAUGACUCAGACAUCGGCAUUAUUGACGCCCAUCUAAGCAUCUAUCCUAGCAUGAGGUUUUCCUCUGGUUAUGCCAAAGCUCUUUCAUGUUCUUAUUUUGUGUUGAAUGAAAACAUCGGAAUUUCCAGAAUCCCGGAUAUCUGCAUUUGAAAGACCUCAAUGGGGGACUCGGAGGUCCUUGACUUUGCCGAGCUUCAGUAAGGAGGGACAUGUCUCCUCUCUUAGGACUGUUGGGAGGACUAAGUACAACCAUACAUGUCAGUCCUGGAACAAGGCCCUGUUCAUUCCUUCAUCAGUCAGAUUUUCCUCGCUGAGACCAGACGCCAGAGAGAGAAACUCAGAGGAGCAUGUUCCAAAGCUUCUGAGGCCUUGGUCUGAUUCUGGCGGAGCAGAGGGGACAGAGGAAUACAGGAGAGGCCCAGGGAAAGCAAGCAGUAGCACUGAGGACGACAUCUCCAGUGACCGCUGCCUCCUGACUUUCACCAGUUCCCAAUGAGGCCGUCUAUGUUAACGGCUCUGGCAGGGGAAUCUAUCCACUGACAGUGUUAGAGUCCUCAGGAUCGGAUCAUUCUCCCAGACCCAUCAGCCGGGAACCAAGUCACUAACAGUUCCUACUCGGAAGACUCCCCUCGUUUGUGGGAAUGAAAGCAACAUUCUGGUUUAAGUUUCAGAACAGAAUUCAGAGCCCUGAGAGCAUGCCUUGUGCUUUGAGAACAGAAAAGCUUAGGAACUGAGAGCUCUAAGUAGCCGGCCCCUGGGGGUGGAGGUGGGGGUGAGGACCAGAACAGCGCCUAAUUUUGAAGGGAAACAGGAAGAGGUCUGAGUCACACUCAUCAGCUCUCACACCGGGAUCUCCAGGCAGCUACUUAGUAACUUUUCUAUCCUCCUCCUGUGCUGUGAAUCAAAGAGCUUAAGAUCCCAGGCUCUGGAGCCAGCCAGAAUUCUGGUGUGAACCCUAGUCCUGUCACUUUCUGGUUAUGAGACCUUGAACGGAUUGAUUAGUACCUCGAUUUCCCCUGCUGUAAAUGGGAUCAGUAAUACUGCGGACGUUUCACAGCAUGAGGGUUGAGUGAGUUAAUAAAAUGUGUUCACAAGAGAGGGAAUGCUAGCCAUCACAGUUUUAGGGCUGAAAAUGGCAUAGCCUAAGACCAGAUCAUUUUUCACCUGGACUAUUUCAUCUGUCUGUCUGUCAUAUAGAUCUAUGCUGACAGAAGUUUUUCUUUUUUCUUUUUUCUUUUUUUUUGG